rnacentral:tRNA from 1 species
GCGCCGGUGGUGUAAUGGCGUAGAGCAUUCCCGCCCGGUCCGAGGGAGGUGCGGGUUCGAGUCCCGCCUGGCGCU